rnacentral:rRNA from 1 species
AUUGAACGCUGGCGGAAUGCUUUACACAUGCAAGUCGAACGGUAGAGGGGGCAACCCCUCGAGAGUGGCGAACGGGUGAGUAAUAUAUCGGAACGUGCCCAGUCGUGGGGGAUAACGUAGCGAAAGUUACGCUAAUACCGCAUACGAUCUAAGGAUGAAAGCGGGGGAUCGCAAGACCUCGCGCGAUUGGAGCGGCCGAUAUCAGAUUAGGUAGUUGGUGGGGUAAAGGCUCACCAAGCCAACGAUCUGUAGCUGGUCUGAGAGGACGACCAGCAACACUGGAACUGAGCAACGGUCCAGACUCCUACGGGGGGCAGCAGUGGGGAAUUUUGGACAAUGGACGCAAGUCUGAUCCAGCCAUUCCGCGUGCAGGAUGAAGGCCCUCGGGUUGUAAACUGCUUUUGUACGGAACGAAAAGGUCUCUCUUAAUACGGGGGGCUCAUGACGGUACCGUAAGAAUAAGCACCGGCUAACUACGUGCCAGCCGCCGCAGUAA